rnacentral:rRNA from 1 species
GAUCCUGCCGGACUUGACUGCUAUCGGAUUGAUACUAAGCCAUGCGAGUCAUUGUAGCAAUACAAGGCAUACGGCUCAGUAACGCGUAGUCAACCUACCCUAUGGACGGGAAUAACCUCGGGAAACUGAGUAUAAUGCCCGAUAGAACACUAUACCUGGAAUGGUUUGUGUUUCAAAUGAUUUAUUGCCGUAGGAUGGGACUGCGGCCUAUCAGUUUGUUGGUGAGGUAAUGGCCCACCAAGACUAUUACAGGUACGGGCUCUGAGAGGAGUGGCCCGGAGAUGGGUACUGAGACACGGACCCAGGCCCUAUGGGGCGCAGCAGGCGAGAAAACUUUGCAAUGUGCGAAAGCACGACAAGGUUAAUCCGAGUGGUUUCUGCUAAAGGAACCUUUUGACAGUCCUAGAAACACUGUUGAAUAAGGGGUGGGCAAGUUCUGGUGUCAGCCGCCGCGGUAAAACCAGCACCUCAAGUGGUCAGGAUGAUUAUUGGGCCUAAAGCAUCCGUAGCCGGCUCAGUAAGUUUUCGGUUAAAUCUGUACGCUCAACGUACAGGCUGCCGGGAAUACUGCAGAGCUAGGGAGUGGGAGAGGUAGACGGUACUCGGGAGGAAGUGGUAAAAUGCUUUGAUCUUUCGAUGACCACCUGUGGCGAAGGCGGUCUACCAGAGCACGUCCGACGGUGA